GACGAACGCUGGCGGCGUGCCUAAUACAUGCAAGUAGGACGCACAGUCUAUACCGUAGCUUGCUACACCAUAGGCUGUGAGUUGCGAACGGGUGAGUAACGCGUAGGUAACCUGCCUAUUAGAGGGGGAUAACUAUUGGAAACGAUAGCUAAUACCGCAUAACAGUAUGUAACACAUGUUAGAUGCUUGAAAGAUGCAAUUGCAUCGCUAGUAGAUGGACCUGCGUUGUAUUAGCUAGUAGGUAGGGUAAUGGCCUACCUAGGCGACGAUACAUAGCCGACCUGAGAGGGUGAUCGGCCACACUGGGACUGAGACACGGCCCAGACUCCUACGGGAGGCAGCAGUAGGGAAUCUUCGGCAAUGGGGGGAACCCUGACCGAGCAACGCCGCGUGAGUGAAGAAGGUUUUCGGAUCGUAAAGCUCUGUUGUUAAGGAAGAACGAGUGUGAGAAUGUAAAGUUCAUACUGUGACGGUACUUAACCAGAAAGGGACGGCUAACUACGUG
rnacentral:rRNA from 1 species